CAACUUUCAGCAACGGAUCUCUUGGCUCUCGCAUCGAUGAAGAACGCAGCGAAAUGCGAUAAGUAAUGUGAAUUGCACAAUUCAGUGAAUCAUCGAAUCUUUGAACGCACCUUGCGCCCUUUGGCUAUUCCGAAGGGCAUGCCUUGUUUGAGU
rnacentral:rRNA from 1 species